GACGAACGCUGGCGGCGUGCUUAACACAUGCAAGUCGAACGAUGAAGCUAGAGCUUGCUCUGGUGAAUUAGUGGCGAACGGGUGAGUAACACGUGAGUAACCUGCCCCGAACUCUGGGAUAACUGCUGGAAACGGUAGCUAAUACUGGAUACGACCUACGAAGGCAUCUUCUGUAGGUGGAAAGAAUUCGGUUCGGGAUGGACUCGCGGCCUAUCAGCUUGUUGGUGAGGUAAUGGCUCACCAAGGCGACGACGGGUAGCCGGCCUGAGAGGGUGACCGGCCACACUGGGACUGAGACACGGCCCAGACUCCUACGGGAGGCAGCAGUGGGGAAUAUUGCACAAUGGACGCAAGCCUGAUGCAGCAACGCCGCGUGAGGGAUGACGGCCUUCGGGUUGUAAACCUCUUUUAGUAGGGAAGAAGCGAAAGUGACGGUACCUGCAGAAAAAGCACCGGCUAACUACGUGCCAGCAGCCGCCGUAA
rnacentral:rRNA from 1 species